GGUUACUGUAGCAGAUCGGGAUUUCAGUCGAUUUCCGGCGAUUCCGGCCGUCUCCGGCCACCAAAUUGGCGUCGAAGGGUUCUUGGAGUUUUCUGGAAAUUUUUCACCGGCCAAAUUGGAGCCCUUCAAGGGCAAUGUUGCGAGCUACGGCUAGAUGAAGGGACUCGUUUGCGUGGUCGCCAACUAGUACUUUUGCAGGCGCUAUUAGUUGAGGUCGGGCGUACAUGGAUCGAGGCAUAGUUGACGAAUAGUUUCCGCACUUCUUUGUUUGGCUCUGAUCUAUUGUGGGUUACUAUUUUGGGUAGUCCACUUUAGGGGUGACUCGACCAGUUCUCGGUAGAGUUAUCUCUAAGGUGGGCCCCGCAGGGCCACCUCGGAUUUCAGGGUGAAAUUCAGGGCGGGUC